rnacentral:rRNA from 1 species
AACGAACGCUGGCGGCGUGCCUAACACAUGCAAGUCGUGCGAGAAAGUUCCUUCGGGAGCGAGUAAAGCGGCGCACGGGUGAGUAACACGUAGGUAACCUGCCCCCCAGUCUGGAACAACUAGAGGAAACUCUAGCUAAUGCCGGAUGAGACCACGAUCCCUUCGGGGGUUGCGGCCAAAGAUGGCCUCUACUUGUAAGCUAUCGCUGAGGGAUGGGCCUGCGGGCCAUUAGCUUGUUGGUGAGGUAACGGCUCACCAAGGCUGUGAUGGCUAGCUGGUCUGAGGGGAUGACCAGCCACACUGGGACUGAGACACGGCCCCAG